UGCAGCUGACACCUGGCAGAUACAGGGUGGGUCUACAAAACCAGGAAUAGGAAUUGUAGUUUGGUUGGCAGAAAAAGACAGGUCAGAAGUGGAGACUGUAAGACAAGGAUAACUGCAGAACAAAGCAAACUUCAGAAGAGAGUUACUGAGAUAUUGAGGAAUCUUCCAACACAAGAAUCAACCUCUAUUCUGUUUAUACCAAAAUCUACCAUGAACUAGUCUUGCACAACUGCAUUUGUAACACUGACAGAAGAUGGAGCUGCUAGAGACAAAGCAAAAUACUGAAGACAAAACAAGAUACUGAAGUACA